GACGUAGGGCGCGAGCGUUGUCCGGAUUUAUUAGGCGUAAAGAGCUCGUAGGCGGCUUGUCGCGUCGGCUGUGAAAUCCCGUGGCUCAACUGCGGGUCUGCAGCUGAUACGGGCAGGCUAGAGUUCGGUAGGGGAGACUGGAAUUCCUGGUGUAGCGGUGAAAUGCGCAGAUAUCAGGAGGAACACCGGUGGCGAAGGCGGGUCUCUGGGCCGAUACUGACGCUGAGGAGCGAAAGCGUGGGGAGCGAACAGG
rnacentral:rRNA from 1 species